CACUCAGAUUUUCCACGAUUGUUUGGUUCGGAAACUUAUUGACGGUCCCUAGUGAACCACCGGGCGUCAGAAGAGGGAGCAACAGAGAGCAGCUAGCCGAAAUCUGGGUGCCUGACUCGGAUCGACCGUGGGCUGGAUGCCGCUGACUCCGCGGAGAUUGAGUGUCCGGCUUCGGGCUGGCUUCACUGCGGCCGCCGGUAGUUGGUGUCCCAGAGGCUGAUUCGUCUCCCAACGCGGGACAGCAGAUCUUCCAACUGGGUCCUGGAUAGACGAAAGUACUGCUGAAAUCGACCGUCAUCCAGACACAGCUCCUGGAGUUGGUGGUGGUAAUCUCCUAACUGUUCCCGUCCCUGAAGAAUCUGGUGAACCCAGGGAUGUUGACGUCGGCGGCGUUUUUCGGCUCUCCACAGGUUUUGCUUGAGGCUUUGUUUACUUUGCAAAGUCCUUACUUCGUUCCGGAGAUCCUCUGAACAAUCUGGAUAAUCAUCUAUUGAGUAUUGGAUCAACCUUAUAGUGGAUUUCUCUGCCUACCACCUGUAUCUUUUGGACACGGAUCAAGCUGGCGGCUUCUCGCUUCCUCCACCCCCAGGACCAAGGCAUAAGCGUACCCUGUUCCUCCCGCCUUCGCAAACAUCGGCAUCUGUGCUUCAUCUGGUUUGCACCAAACCAGCAGCUGAGGAGACAACUGAGCAACCUCACUUCGCAAGCUAAGACUCUGAAUCUCUCUACCCCUGGUGGUUCAAGCAACAGCAAUUUAAACAGCAGCGUCAGACAAACCAACAGUUAGAGCAGAUUACCGCCAUGCUACAACAGACCCUUAAUACCCAACCCCCCACGCAGGUAAAUGGCACUGCUGCAUCUCCAGUAACUUCACAGCUUCUUCACUCUCGUGACGUCAUUUCCCCUAACCCAGAAAAAUUCUCUGGAGAGACCUGGACCCAAGAACACUAAACCUGAUGCCCUUUCCAGACAGUUUGCUGUUGACGACUCAGUAAAGGAGCCAGCUUCCAUUCUACCGCCCAGUUGGACGGUUGGGGCACUCAGGUGGGAGAUGGAAGACAUUAUCCUCAGAGCUCAACAACAGGAUCCCAACCCAGAAACAGUACCACCCAAUCGCACAUCUGUCCCGCUUAAGGACCUUAUGAGAUUGAGGCCGUGAUCAGUCCCUCUGCGGCAACAGCAAUUUAUUGGCAUCUCCAGUUCUCUUUCCUGAAUACUUUACUGACAAUAAAAACACGUUAAACUUUG